rnacentral:lncRNA from 1 species
UAGAGAUUAGGAGGAGCAUAAAAAGAACAUUCAUUCACAAUCAAGAUCUCGGUUUUUCUUUUUGUUUUUUUGAGAUUUGCAUAGAAAAAUCUUAAUAAAAUAUGUUGGAGCAGUCAUCAUAUCAAUAUCAGUACAUGCCGAUCGGCAUUUAUUUAUUAUUUAUAAAUACACACCGAAAACAGAUUGUUGUUUUAGUUAUUGGAUGGUAGCGAUCAGCAAAUUACCAAAAUCAAUACAAACAAAUUACGGAAACGACAUCUGAUCAGUGUGUCGAGAAGUAAUGAUGUGACGAGUCUCCACUGUUUCUUCUUCUUCUUCUUCCCUUUCCUCCAUUGGAUGCAGAAAAGAAAUAACGAAAACUAAUUUAAUCGUUCGGAUUAGAAAGACAAGCACAAGGGAUCGAGUAGUAGCAGCAACAGGAACAACUAUUUCAUCUCACACACCAAAGGAUAUACAUCUCAGUGUGGUUAUACAACUCGGAGAACGCAGCUAACACGAUAGCAUCGUCGACAACAACUCCAACUCCAACACCAACAAAAAGCAGCAAGCAACAAAAGCAACGAAUACGAUCUAACCGUAGCAAACCUAAUCGAAACAAAGCCAGCAGCAGCAGAUCUACAUGGACGAGGGGAGGAAGAAGAAGAAGUCAGCAGCCACGAGUCAACCCCUGAUGUGGCGAACCUUGUGCCAGGUCUUCUUGCAGGUCUCCCCCACCACCUUCAUCCCCUUCUUCACCAGGUGCUUCAACUCCUUGGCUCGCUCCUUCACCUGCUCCUCGAAGCCUCCGGCCAUGGCGACCUCUCACGCUGUGUUCCUUCCCACCCAGAUUCCACUUCUUUAAUAGGGAUAUCUAUGUGUGCAUCGCUCUCUCCCUCUCCAUACUUUUAUUUUUUAUUUUUAUUUUUUGUAAUGUAUACGUAUCCAGUGGUGGGAUUUGAAAUAUGCCGUGAUACGUGCCAUGCACCGUUGGGAUGAUCAUGGUUUGCACGAUUUCCGGGCUUUUGAAAAAGAUAGCAGUGACCGAGUUGGAUAGCAGAUAAGAACAGGGUGUAAAGCAAAGGCUCUUUUACAGAGACGAGACAGAGAUGAUGAAGGUAAAACAAAUACCAUCGAAACACGUUAUAAUCCUAGCAAAACAUGCGACAUAAACGUAGAAUGGACCACAACCCCGGACUCGGUGGCUGUCACUGCAUCAUCCUGUGACAAGGUUGUGGGCACCAGCUCUGCAACGCUCACAUGAAUGCAAGAUUGCUUCGUACAGAUCCCGCGGAUCCAUGCAAAACGGUGGGGGUGACAAUAAUACGUCCGACCUAAAAUUGAUCAGGUGGGGUGCAGGUCCUUUUUGUCCCAACUCUUAUAUUUCAGUUUUAAAUUUGGAUCGAAUCUUCAUCUCAAAGUUCAAAUAUAUUAUUAUUAUUAUUAUUACAAUAAAAUUAGAUCCCUCUCGUCUCAUCAAGAUUAUAUGCGAUUUGCAUGUUAUUUGAUGUUUUUUCUAUAUAGAUUAAUUAUUAUGAUUUAAUGGAUCAAAAUAUUUAAAUUUAAAUUCAUAUAUUCAUCAAAUCUUUAUUAGUUAAUCUUAAUUUUUACUCACUUUUAAUAUAAACUUUGACAUCAUUAAUCCAACCAAUGGUCCAAAAAAGACACCAACAGUUUAUAAUGGUGUAGCCAUUUUAAUCUUUGUUAGCCAUACGAAUAUAAGAUAUAUUCUCAAAUGAAGACAGAUCAAUUAUGACCCACAAAAUGGAAUGCAAAUGGUUUGCUGGCAUCGAAGGGGCAAAACCUCAGCUUAAAAGGAAUGCAGCUGGUGAAUACAUGUCAAUGAAAACAGUAACAUACUCCAUAUGAAAGUCGGCGAUGCCACCUGCUAUCAAUUUUGAACUUUCCUAGGAAACCUUUAGUAGAUAUUUCUCCUUUACCCAAAGGAAGAACACAUUUUAGUCAGCAUAUGCAUUUGACAAGAUAGUCCGUUUGAUUUAUUAGUUGCUUUCCUCUUUCAGCUACAAAAAAUCAGAUUUACUCAAGGUGAUUAAUUUCAUGAUUCAACCAUAGAGUAUAAAUCUCUCUAAGAAACAAAAGAAAAGUGAACAUGCAACUAAAUGAAAGCGAUCUUAGUGUACAUCCUUGAUAUGAAUUUACGACAUCAUAGUUAUUAGUAAUAUCAUUGCAUUAUAUACAGAAUGAAUGGCAAAGCAAGGAGUCAAUUGGCCAGUCCAACAAUAUGCAGAACCAACAACACAACCAAUGAGGAAGAGUUGCAGAGAAUUCUCACCAGAGAAGUGGCCAAUGCUGAAAACAAAUGAACUAAUAAUAACAGCUUGCCACCAUUUCAUUGUGGAGGAUAGAGAUGAUAGAAGGAACCCCCGAUAAACAGUUUCCUCCAACAAAGGACUAACGAGGCAAUACAGAAAAAAGCAUGACAUCAUAGACAAAGGGCUAUCCGAAAGAAUCUUUUUCAAGAUCGGGUCAUUCACAUCCUGCAAGCAACCACAGAAGAACUAAUUUAGUCAGAAAAGAAGCAGAAAGUAGUUUAAAUGCUCAUAAUUAUCACUACAUCAAAUACCUGCAAGUUCAUUCCACAUUCAAAUUGAUUCUCACCAUAACAUACACUUUAGCAAGUGCUAGGAUGUAAAAGAACUAGUUUACCACACAUAAGCAGAAGAAAACUUGCUCGACAUGGUUUUACUUUUUUCUUCUUUCUGUCCCAGUAAACCUACCAGAAUAGUGAUACCACGAAUACAGUUGUUUAUUAUUACAUAGCGGAUAUAUCUACUUACCAGUAAAACCUACCUACCAGAAUAGUGAUACCAUAGAUGUUCAAUAUGUUCUUUGAAAGGUUUGUUUCAUCAAUCAUAUUUUCGGAAUUAAGAAUCUUUUGUCGCAGUUGUAUUUAAUAUGUAAAUUCAACACUUCUUCAGCAAAUAACAGUUCAACUUGCCAUAGCUUGAUAACAUGAGUAUUUAGACUUCUAGAAGGUAAAAAAAAAAAGCCUCCUUUGCAAUCAAAAUAAACUAAAAUCCUGCUACGAAGUCAAUAGAGGAAAUUCUAGGCAUUAAACAUAGCAGUUUAGCUUACCUUAGGUCCAACCAGCAUGUCAGCAACUAUGGAUGUGAGAAACACUAGCCCAAUCAAAGUACCAAUCCCCACAAUAGAUGCUGUGAUGCAGCUUCUUCCUCCCCAAAACCACUUUGCAUGGAAGAAUCUGCAAACAUCAUAUUGCGGCUUUGCAUUAAAAUGCAACAGUGUUGAAACUCCAACAUACUCUGUAACUUGUAGCACAGUGAUGGACACAACCUGCAUUGAACAGAAGUGGUGAUUGUUUAAUCAACAAAGAACAGCUUUUUUAAAGUAUGUGAAUCACGUGUUUCUACAACAUUUGCUAUCUGGAAUAGCUCGUUCACCAUCGUCAGCGGAUCAAGGUUAGGUUCAUGAAGAAUUUGAGCGAUGACUGAGAGCCCUCCAAAGCUCAAAGGAACGUGCAAGACGAAGAAAUAGGCCGCACAUAUGGACCAUACGUCACUAUUUUCCCAUGGUACGUCGGAUGGAAGCACUGAAAACCCCUGUUUUCCAGGAGAAAAUUAAAUCAAAUUAUCCACGUCACCGAACCAAUCUGGCGCUGAUGAUACUGAAGUAAAGGAGGAACGACAGGAAAGGCAAACAGCUGAUUCCAGGAAACGGAGAUGGAAUAGGCAUUGCCUCGAACAGUUCAUCUGCGCUAUCCUUCCCGGCGCAGAAGCACCUAAAGAAAGAUCUCGUGCGCACCCUGGAUUGGAAACCGCGAAAUGGGAUUGAAACGCACGGGAGGACGCUGGGAUGUUCAGAAGAGCUAGCAGGUUUUGGAAAGGUCGACGACGGGGAGAUUCGGGGAGGGCGUGGAGAAGCCACUGUUAUCAUCAUGGGCGUCGCUUCGGUUUUCCUCAGCCGUCGAUCCCAAGAUUUAUGUUUGGUAUCUAAAUAGAAGCUUUAAGAUUCGAAGAAUCGAGAUCGAGAUUUUAUUCAUAGCUAGGCGACGUUGAAGCUUGAAGAAGAAGCCCUGUCGUCAAAUUUGGGUCGGAUCCAUCCCGAACCCAUCCGACCCAACUUGGCCAGCUCCAGAAGAUAAGUAAGUCAAAUUAGAAGAUUUGUUUUUUCCAAGCAACAAAAGAUAAUAUAUUACUUCAAAACCCUCAUCCAGGUAUAGCGAUGCUAGUCCUCCACUUACAACCUUUCGCACAUACGAGACUAAGCAUAAUAAUUAUCUUUUCUAAAAAUAUGAAUCACUCACUCCAUAAAUAAGUUAAGAACAAAAAUCCAGAGAACCAAAUAAGAAUAAAUUUUGAUCAUGAACUAUUUGAGUCGUUAUGAUUUAUGGUUUACUCAUGUCUAAAAUAACUCAUACAUUUUAAAAAAUAUAGCAUAUAAGUCCCUUCCGUCAAGUCUUUAUUAAUAAAUAUUAUAGUAUGCUUAGCAUGACUUAUAAUAAAUCAUUAAUAUAAUUAUAUAUAAUUUAAGUUUAAAAAAAAUGUUAAAAUCCAUUUUAGCCCAUAUGGACUUGGUCAUUCACCACUUAAGUCUUAUGACUUAUUCAUGUUUAAAAUAACUUCUAUCUUUUCAAAGACGUAGUAUAUAAGCCCCUCUCAUCAGGUUUGAGUUAAUAGACAUUAGAGUUUGUUUACGUACUAUUCUGACUCAUAAUAAAUCAUUAAUAUAAUGAUAUAUGUAGUUUAAGUUAAAAAAAAAAAAAACUGAGACCACCAUCAAUGACCGAAUGAAGUGUUGUCAUGGAAGUGACCACCAACAGUAGCACUGAGCCACUACUACGCAAGGCAUCGUACACACGCAACCACUCCCACAUUGACGAUGAGCUCAAGAGCUUCCGAUCUUACCUCAGGUGGAUGUUCAUCGACUAGCCUAAUGCUAAGCAUGCAAUGGUCUCCUGUUCCCUCUUCCUCCUCUUGGGUAUCUUUGUCCCCAUCAUCUCCCACUUUGUCCUCUCUUAUACCCCCACCCACCAUGCCUAUGAUGUGGUGAUCCAACUCUUCCUCACCUCUGCCUCUUGUCUAUCCUACCUUUGCCUCUCCACUUUUGUUCAUUGUUACGGCUUUUGUCGCUUCCUAUUCUUCAAUAAUAUAGACAUAAUCAAGAGAAGAACCACCACUAAAAGAAAGAGCAUUAUUGGAAUGAGACAAGGUAAGACAUUGGAGAGAAGAGAAGGAUUGAGAUUAGAGUUUGGAGUAAAAACUAAAGAAAAUUCAACAUACAUCUUGGCAUACGGUGGAACUUGAACUCAUAGAAGCUCCAACACGUUAGAGGCACCUCAUGACUUGGCCUCUACGGUAAACUCUUUGGUCCUGCUCCUCUUGAUAUCAUUCAAUCUUCUCUUUCAAAAUUUUAAAAACUCUCGAAGAGUUUUUAAGCUAUUAAUCUUAUUAUAGGUUAUCUUUGCUUUCACUUCUAAUCCAAAUAAGAUAUAAUAAAUACCCUAGAUUAUGAUUUUUGAUUCUCAUGAGUAAUGACCUCUCCUUAUUUCUAUGGAAUGAGAAUUUUUAAACUCUCAAAGAACGUAUUACCAUUAUCCCCAUGUAAAUCUAUACGCCAAACCCACCCAUAAAAUCCUUUGUCCCUCGAAUCAUCUUCCAAAUUGCUACCAAAGUAGGUAUCCCUCUUAGGGUUGAUGACAUCACUAUCUUUAGGGCAUGAGCAAAAUUUACAAAGGUCAAUAUUCUUCUUAAUUUCUCUCUUCCACUUCCGUAAUUCAUCUAGGUGAAAAUAGGAAAGAUGGACUUUGUUCAAACCAUAGCAUAUGAAAAUCCCCUAAAAAUCAAUUACUCCUAUGGCUAUUGGGUUAUAAGAUAGCUCAAUGUAUGUCUAUGAAAUCAUCAGAAAAAUCGACCUGAGGAUAUUUUCAGCAUAUAGAUCAUCCUCUCUACUAGAGAAGGCCAAAUGUAUGACCCGUGGAUGUCCAACAUUGACCUAGACCCAAGAGGGACCCAACCCAAACCAAAUCAACCUGCACUAACCACAUCCCUAUCAUGAAUCCUAAACAAUCCCUAAUCUACAUAGUUAAGUUCAACCUUAAAACUCAAUUCAACUAUUUUAGGGAGGAAAAGAAAAACACUUGAAAAUCAAGAUAAAAAAAAAGAAUAUCCAAGAUAUAACAUAGUUCAGUAACUCCCUACCUACAUCCAAAGAGAAAAUCAAAUUCUCUCACAUAUAUGAGAUCAAUUACAAGGCCCUUGAGUUCUCUCAAGCACAACUUUUUUUUUAUAUAUCCUCUGAUUCAAAUAUGAAAAAUUCUUCAUUCAAUCCUUUCUAGAUUUACUAGACUAACUCUUAGAAGUAAUGAAAGUAUCUUAUAUCUCCGCUUCACUAAAGCUGAAGACUCAAGGUAUAUUUAUAAACAUAAAUUCUAUUCUUUAAAGACUCUUCCUACUUGAAUCCAUAAUCUAAAUCAUAAUCCACCAAUGAGUUUGGAUAUAAUUAGGACUCUUUUUAGUAGUUUGAAUAUAAUUAGAACUCUUAAAAUACUUUCAACCUUGAUAAAUCACUCAAGGGUAUAGUGCUCCUUCCCAAACCACUAAUCACAUUAAACUAACUAUUCAUCGGAGAAGGGAAAGGUUGGGAACAUGAUGUCACCCUAGAUUUUGGGGCAUUGCUUGGAAAAGGGAAGGGUUGGUAGCUAGUAAAGUUGAUUUCAAUUCCUAUACAAUCUUAACAUAUGCCAACAUCAUUCCCUUGACCGAUUCAUCUAGUAUAGUAAUUGUUAUAUCUAAUGUCUCGCCUCCGAAGUCUGCUCUCUCAUCAAUUACGAUGAAGAUUGAACUAAUAUCAUCCUUAGACACUUAAAUCUCUUUAAUUACAAAAGAUAAUAUAUUUUUCUAACCAAAAGACUCCCUUACAUCAUUUACCUUCUCAAACACUACCUUGAUGUAUAACACAACUCAUCUUCCCUUGUUCUCUAUUUCCUCUUUAUCAGUUUCAUCUACAUAUAAUCUAUUUUUGCAAGAACAUAGUAAACAUAUCUUGCUGAGUCCUUGAUCUAAAAUUCUCUCUCCCUUGAACCUUCAUAAAAAUGAAUAUUUUCAACUCUUAGUAGAUAAGGUGGAAUAGGGAUUCUAUAAGACUACUAACCAAAUAACUAAAAAACACGCGAGCAUCCUCCUAGAUGAUGAUGACCUAUAGAAUGGUCUCAUUUUCCUCAAAAGUAAGGACAUAAGACUAGAUUAGUCUCUCCUAAGAGAGUAUCUCUUUCUCUCUCCUUUAUUUCCAAAUACAUAAGUAGAAAAGAAAUAUUAGACUCCAUAAAUACUCUUUUUUUUUAGUAAAUAGCAGACAACUCAUCCUUUCUUUCCCUCGUGAAACUAUUAAGUUAGAACUGUAGAAGUGCACACAAUCGUGAUUGUCUCAAUCAUUUAUUAUAUUCAAUUAGAACUAUUUACAUUAGCAUUGUUAUACUAUCGAAAACUCAUCUUAACUUGGAGACUAAUCAUAGGUACAUCUAUAAGCUCAAUUGUGAUUGGAAAUGAAUCACCUCUCCUACCCAUGGUCGAUCUAGAGAAAUCAUCUUUGCUUGGAAGCCCAAUAAAACAUGUGUCUAUCUAGUGAGCAAGGAUGCUCAAACCUUAUACUUAAUAAUAGAAGAACAAGGUAAAUCUUUAUGGCUUCUUUCUAUAAUUUAUACCAGUACUAUUUUUUAUAUAUGUAAUUCACUUUGAAAAAAAUCUUUCAUCGCAUGCUUUUGAAUCCUUUGCCUUGGUCUUUUUAUGAUGAUUUCAGUUAUAUUAUCAAUCCCAAGGAAAAAAUGGAGGUACUUCAUUUCAAAUCAAUAAUUCUAAUACAAUUUUAUAUGAUUUCAUAUUCUCAUGUAAAAUUUUCGAUCUUGGUUUUCGUAGUCCAAAUUUUAGUUGGUCAAAAAAUUAGUGUAGUCCUUCUAGAGUUUUAACUAGGCUUGGUAAGCUCUUGCUAAUGAUUUCAGACUGAAAUUAUACCCUUCUAAGAAUAUAUAUAUUUUUAUCUCAAUUGCUUGUUUUUUGAUCACUACCCCUUAUUGAUCCAUAUCAACCUUUCUCCGUAUUCUAAACCAAUCAGAUCUUUUAACUUUGAAUCAUAUUAGAUCAACUAUCUUGACCUUAGAAUCUUGACCUUAGAGGCUUAGAGCAACCUAAACCUUCAUACUUUAUUUUUGAUAAUAUUCAUAAUUAUCUAACCAAACUAAGUACCAAUAUCUCUAAAUAGAGUAAAGUGGGGUGAUAAAUGUUAAAAUAAACUAUGUCACUUGGGAGACUAUGUCUAGGUGGUACCAUCGCCCAGAUUGGCGUUACCACAACCUAGUCUGACGAUACUAUCGCCUAACACAAUCUUGGAGACUGAGCCACUAGCGGUGCUAUCGCCUAGACCGUUGGUACCACCACCUGACUAAACUUUUGGGUCAUUGAAUGAGCCUUUCUCUUGCCUCAAAACAGCCCCAAUUCGGGCCCAGUUGGCCCCUAAUUGAGUUAGCUUAAUUACAUUCUAAACCAACCCAAUUAUGACCUCAACUAACUCGAUCUAGACAAAUUAUUUUGAAGCACGAAUCAUUUGUUGUCCGGCAUGUCAUUGGUUUUUCCAACGCUUCGUCCGAUCCUUCGACGCAUCAUUCUCUCCUUUGGCGUAUUGCCCAAUCAGCAUAUUGUCUUCUCGUAAUAUCCAAUCUUCUUGGCGCAAUGUCCGAUCUUCUUGGCCUGAUGCCCGAAUUCACGGAUUGAAACCUUCUAUCGACAAAUCGACCGAUCCUUCGGCUCGACGUCCAAUCUCCUGACAUGUUCAACUUUGACCCAACAUCUGAUUCCCCUUGCUUUAAUUAAUUUGUCUCUCUUGAUCGAAGCUAGUCUAGUGUUACUCAAAACGUAGAUUAGAUCAUAACAUUAUCAAUUAAUUUCAUCAUCAAAAUCCGAGAUUCAAUAAUCUCUCCAUUUUUUAUGAUGACAAUCAAUUGAUGACAGAGUUUAACUAAACUCUCCCUAUCAAUAUGACAUAAAUAAGAUGAACCUUGAAUUAAAAUUAAAUUUAAGUCAAAGUAAAUUUAAUCAUAAAUAUUUCAUCAUUGAAUGCUUUAGUAUCAUAAGUUGAAAUAUUGCAUGCAUAAUACCAAAUUAUCAUGUAUAUUUUCAAAAUAUAAAAUUAUCAUUACAUGCAUGAUUCCAAAUCAUCAUUUAUAAUAUCAUACCAUACAUAAUCAUCAUCAUACCUUCUCCACUUUUGUCAUCAACAAAAAGAAGAAGUGCAACUAUCAAUAUUUUAGAGGUAUAAGCUUAACAAUUAGUAAAUUUCUCAUCACUUUAGAACAUGCAAACUAGUGAGUUCUUUCUUCUCUUUUGAGAAGUGCAAGCUAGUAAUUUUUGCUUCCUUUACAAAACAUAAGCUAGCAACAAUUUUGAGUUUUGAAAGUUUGUAAAUUUUGCUAGAUGUGUAAGUUAGCAUGUUUUCUUUUCUUUACGAUGUUCAAACUAUCAAGUUUUUGAAAGAGAAUGUGAGAUAGUAAAUAACAAGUUUAGAACAUGCAAGUUAGCAAGUUUCUCACAUAUGAAAGUUGGCAAAAAUUUUGUAUCUUUUGAGAUGAGCAAGCUAGUAAGUUUUUCUUACUUUUGCAAUGUGCAAGCUAGCAAAUUUAGCAAGUUUUACAUCAUUUUCGAAUAUGCAAGCUAACAAAUUUUAUAAUAUUUUAAAACAUACAAACUAGCAAUUUUAUCUCCCCUUUGUCAUUGUCAAAAAGAAGAGAAGAAUAUAAUUUUAUGAUUCUUUUCCCUUUAUAUCAAUUUUCAUAUCAUGACAAAGAUAAAGUAUCAUUCUUAAUUCAAUAUGGCAUAUCGAAAUAAGGUAUCAUUUCAAAAAAUGAUAAUUGUUGACUUUUACAUCAUUUCAUUAUAAAAUCAUAAGUAUUACAUGCAUCAUUCCAAAUCAUAAAUAUUUUAAAUCAUAAUGGUCUCAAAAUGUCAAACUACAUUACAUCCUAUCACGCAUGAUCAUAACUUAUCAUUUGUAUGCAUCAACAAUAAUAUAAGUAUUUUAUGUAUAAUUUCAUAUCAUCACAUGAAUAAUAUCAAGAAAAAUUAAUUGGGUGAUGAGAUAUACACUUCAUGAAUACAAAUUUUAAGUUAUGAAUAUCAAAAAAUUAAGAGAAAAAUUAUGAUUCUUUUUGGAUGACUCAAAUAACGAAAAAAAGAAUCAUAGUAAAUGAUCUUGAUUCAUAAAAAAAAUCUCAUGUUAUAAUUCUAAGAAUUCACAAGAAAAAUCAUGAUUUAUUUAAAUAAUUAUUCUUUUAUUAAUUAGCAAAAAAAAAAUAUGGGAGUUCAAAAAUAAGAUCUUGAUUCAUAGAAAAAUCUUAUGUAUCAAAUAUCGAGAAAUCAAGAUCAUGAUUUGGAUAAAAAAUAAAUCUCAAUCCAAAAAAUUUUCUUGUAAGAAAUGUUAAGUCAUCGUCAUUAUCACUUUGGGUUUGAUACUAAAUCAAUAAAUUUUCAAAUCAUCAUUACUUGGGUAUGCAUGAUACCAAAAUAUGGUUUCAAGUCUUCAAGGUAUAACAUGCAUAAUUUCAAACCAUUAUUAAGGUUAUAGUUUGUUUGCAUAAGUCUCUUCUUUAGUAAACGAUAAGAAGGAAUCAUCAAAGAUAGAAAAUAUUUUGAUUCUUAUAAAUGAUAGCUCAAGUAGAGAAAUCAAAAGAAAGUCCAUGAUUUAGUUGGAAAAUUUUCAUUCAUAUUCAAUUUGUUAACUCCAAACUUAUCAUCAAAACCACUUUUCUUAAUUCAAGAGAUAACAUAAAAUAGAUUCAUCACUAAGCACCACUUGUUGAAAAAAUCGAAAAGCUUUAGAGAUAUUUUUAAGAAACAUGCAUUCUCUCCUUUUUGUUUCAAUUUAAGUAAUUUGAUUUCAUACAAACAUGCUUUAAUUUUUUUUGCCAAACAAAAAUAUGCAUUAUCGUUUAAAACCGAAAAAGUUACUUUCAUUACGACAAAGAUCAAUAAGUCAUAAAUCACAAAAAUCAUCAUACAUAAUUUCGAAAUAUAAGCUCAUUAAGCAUGAUUUCAAAUCAUCAUUACUUCAAAUCUUCAUUACAUUAUUAUAUCAUUAAAUCAUCAAGUAUGGUUUCAUUGAACAUAAAGCAUCUUCAAUCAAAAUAAAAAAGUAAUACAGAAAUCAUCAAGAUACACAUAAUUGUUUCUUAAAAAUAUAUAUAGGAUUAAUAUUACUAGGUGUACAAGCAUUAGAUUUAAAUAUAAUAUUUUAUUCCUUUAUCAUAAAGAAAUGCAACUAUCAUGAUCAAUUUUUUUAAUUUUUCAAAAACACUAGAAAGAAAAGCAUGAUCCCAUUUUAUUUUUUUAUAUUUUAUAUACUCAUUUAAAAAUAAUUUAUAAAAUACAUCAAGUAAUUUUAUAGUAAACUAAGGGGGUUUUGGUUACCUCGUCAUCGAAAGCCAUUAAGGCAUUGUUCGCCAUCUUGUCUUUAUUGGUUUGCUUCUCGUCUUCGAUGAGCUCGAUUCGUCCCAAGCCACCUUGAAUACUUUCUUCUUCUUUGGUAACUUCUUCUUUUUAAAUUUAUUUUUAUUCUUAGUCUUAUGUUUUAUAAAUUUUAUAAAUUUAUUUAUGAGGAGUUCUAUGUCAUCAUCAUUUAAACUUUCGCUCAAGUGGUCUUCUUUUGUUCUAAGUGCCAAGUCCUUCCUAUUCUUUGGAAGGUUGUCUCAAGUUUAUCAUGUUUAUCAUAUGUCUUGCACGUCAUUUCAUGUCAUUAAUGAACCAAUAAGUUCUUCUAGUGAAAAAUUAUUUAAGUUCUUUGCUUCUUGUAUUGCAGUUACUUUUGGAUCUAACUCAUUAGAAGGGAUCUUAAUAUCUUGUUAACAAGUUCAAAAUUCGAAAAACAUUUGUUAAGAGCUUUCAAACUAUUGAUGAUAUCCGUAAAAUAGGUAUACAUGUCAACAAUAGUUUCACUGGACUUCAUUUGAAACAAUUCAAAAUUAUGUAUUUUAGACUCUUUAACUCAAUUUGUGCCUUCGUGUGUGAUUUCAAGAGUGUGUCAAAUCUCAUAAGCUAUUUCGUAAAUAUAAACUCAAUUGAAUUCAUUUUUAUCCAAAGCACAAAACAAAACAUUCAUAGCUUUGACAUUCAAAGAGAAAGUCUUCUUCUCUAAAUCAUUCCAAUCGUUCAUUAGAAAAAAAGACUUUUAAAAUUUAUUUUCAAUGAUGUUCCAUAAAUCGAAAUUCAUGGAAAACAGGAAAACUCUCAUUCGAGUUUUCUAAUAUAUGUAGUCCAUCCCGUUGAACAUAGGAGGACGAAUGAUAGAGUGACUCUCUUGAAAUCCGAAAAGAGUCAUUUCUCUUGGAUAUUAAACCAAAUUAGAAAAACAUGGCUCGGAUACCAACUGUUAGGAUCAAAUCAGCACUAAGAGGUGUUAGGAAAGGGGUCGGCACUAAGAAGGGGGGUGAAUUAGUGCAGCGGUAAAAUCACGUCUUCAAAAAUGUUUCAUUUCGAUAAAACAAGUUUCGUAAAGAUGUUAACUUGAAAUUGUAUGAAAACAUAGUGAAUGAGGAAUUCAGUUUGCAAUAAGGUAAAUAGCAAGAAGUAAAUGCAAACCAUAUUUUAGAGUGGUUCGGUCAUCGUGACUUAUAUCCACUUCACCGAUUCCUUUUCCGUCGAGGCCACCGGCAUCCACUAUCGAUCUUCCUUUAAUAGGCGAAGAUCAACCUCCUUCUUACACUCCUCUUCUCCUUUUCACAGGUUUAGAAGUAAACCUUUACAAACACACACUCCUCCUAAACAGAAUUCUAAACUUAGACUAUAGGAGAGGAUUUCUCUUGUAAUUGCAAUAGCGUUUUCUCACUUUUAAAUACUCUAUGCUUAUGUGUGUUAACUAGGGAUAAGAGGGGUAUUUAUAUGCUUCAAGUUGAUUCAAACUUGGAGCAUAAAAAUAUCUCAUCCUGGGUUUUCUAGGUUCGGGCGGUAUCACCGCUUGUGUUGGGCGGUACCACUGCUAGUGUCAAUCUGACACUGACACUACACUAGGCGGUACCAUUGCCCAGUCUAAUGGUACCACCGCCUAUAGCCUCUCGGAGGCUGUGUUUGGGUAGUACCACUACCUAGACGGACGGUACCACCGCCUGACAUAGUCUUGGAGACUGUGUCACAACGGUGUCACCUCUUGGGGCACUGUUUGGACCUUUUUAUUAGGCCCAACACAGUUCUUACAUAGGCCCAACUAGCCCAUAAUUGGGUUGGCCCAAUUCCAAACCUAAUUACGUACUAAUUACGAAAUCUAAGACAUACUUAAGCUAAACAAGUCUGUAAGUCUUGGUUUCUUCCGGCGAACUUCCGACGAUCUUUCGGUAAUAUUCCAGUGGACUCCCGGCAAGCUCCUGGACUUCACGACAAUCUUCUUAGUGAGUUUCAAUGAGCUUCUCUAACAAGCUCCGAGACUUCUCGGCUAGUUCCGACAGAACUUUCGAUGAACGUCUGGACUUACGAUGAACUCUCGAACCCCCAACAAAAUCGCAUCAUUGACUCCGAGACUCCAUUUUGCUUCAUGCCUUGCUAUUGUAGUUAAUCCUGCACAUGUAAAAACAUACUUUGAUCUAGACAAUUAAUACUAAGCAUUAAUCAUGUUGUCUGGCAUGUCAUUGGUCUAUCGACGCUUCGUCCGAUUCUUUGGCGCAUUAUCCUCUCUUGCGGCCUAUUGCCCAAUCGGCCAAUUGACUCCGUAACUCCGAUAUCCUUAGCACAAUAUCUGCUUUUCUUGGCCCGAUGCCCGAAUCCAUGGCCCGAAGCCUUCUGUCAAGACGUCAACCGAUCCUCUAGCCCGAUGUCCAAUCUUCUGACAUGUUUUCCUCGGGCCCAACAUAAUUUUUCCUGCUUUAAUUGUCUCAUCCUGAUCGAAGCAUCCUACAUCACUCAAAAUGCAGAUCAAUUCAUAAAUACUAUCAAUUGGUUUCAUCAUCAAAAUAUGAGAUUCAACAAUACUCGGAUACCAAAGGAGGUUAAUAUUCGCCUAUUAAAGGAAGAUCAAUAGUGGAUGCCAGUGGCCUCAAUGGAAGAGGAAUUAGCGAAAUAGAUGUAGGUCACGACGACCGAACUACUCUAAAAUCUGGUUUGCAUUUACUUCUUGCAAUUUACCUUAUUGCAAACUGAAAUUCUACUUCACUACAUUUCCGUACAAUUUUAAAUUAACAUCUUUACGAAACCGAUUUUAUCGAAACGAAACAUUUUUGAAGACAUGAUUUUAUUGCUGCACUAAUUCACCCCCCUAUUAAUGCCAACCUCUUUCCUAACAAUUGGUAUCAGAGCCUCAUUUUCUCAUUUGGUUUAACACCUAACGAGAAAUGACUCUUUUCGACUUUCAAGAGGGCCACUCUCUCAUUCGUCCUCCCUUUUUCAAUGGGACGGACUACACUUAUUGGAAAACUCGAAUGUGAGUUUUCUUACUUUUUUUGGAUUUAAAUUUAUCGAGUAUUAUGGAAAACUGUAUUUGAAUGUGUUCUCUUCCAAUGAACCAUUGGAAUGGUUUGGAGAAGAAUACAUUUUCUUUAAAUGCUAGAGCUAUGAAUGCUCUAUUUUACAUCUUAGAUAAAAAUAAAUUUAAUCGGGGUUCUAUGUGCGAAACAACUUUCGAUAUUUGGCACACUCUUAGAAAUCACACACGAAGGCACUAACAAAGUUAAAGAUUCGAAAAUCAACUUUUUAAUGUAUAAUUUUAAACUUUUUUGAAUGAAGCCAAGUGAAAUCGUUGUUAACAUGUACACCCGUUUUAUGGAUGUCAUCAAUAGUUUAAAAGCACUUUGUAGAAGUUUUUCAGAUUUUGAACUUAUAAAUAAAAUUUUAUGUUCUCUUAAUAAGAGUUGGGAUUCAAAAGUAACGGUUAUUAAAGAAUCAAAAAAUUCGAAUACUUUUUUGAUCAAAGAACUUAUCGGGUCUCUAAUGACCUAUGAAAUGACGUACAAUGCACGUGAAGAACUGGAGAACCACCUUCCAAAGGACAGGAAGGAUUUCGGACUAAGAACAAUCGAAGACCACUCGAGCAUAAGCUCAAGUGAUGGUGAACUUAAACUUGUCACUAAGAAAUUUAAAAAGUUCAUGAAACAAAAAUUAAAGAACAAAAAGAACAUAAAUUGGGAUGAAUCAAGCUCCUCCGAAGACGAGGAGAAAAUCAACAAAGGCAAGGUAGCAAAUUAUGCCUUAACAACUUUCGAUGGUGAGGUAAUCAAAAUGCCUUUAAUUUAUUUCGAAAUUACAUAAUACUUUCUUAAGUUAUUCUUAAUUUAGUUUUAAUUUUUUUAAAAAAUAUUGUAUGUUUAAUAAUGUAAUGAAAAUAUAAAAAAAUGGGAUCAUGCUUACCUUUCUAGUGAUCAUGAAAAUUACAAGUUUUGUGAUAAACAAACAAAAUGAUUUUGAAUAAAAAUACCUUAUAAAACCAUGCUAUAUGUGUUUAAGAAGUAAUAAUGUGUAUCUUGAUGAUUUUUGUAUUCCUUGUGAUUAUAAAUGGUUCUUUUUUAAUGAAAUCGUGCUUGAUAAUUUAAUGCAUAAUGAUCAUGCUUAAUGAGUUUAUUUUUCAAAAUUAUACAUGAUGAUUCUUGAGAUUUAUGGAUUAUCAACUUUCAUGGCUUUAAAAGUUUUUUUUGGUGUUAAUGUAUUAUGCAUGUUUUCAUUUGGCAUAAAUGAAAAAGGCAUACUUCUAUGAAAUCAAUCUUAUGAAUUGAAACACUAGAAAAUGAUUUUGAUUUGAUGAUUUCAAUUUGAAUGAGAUUUCUCUUGAUUUUUCAAGAUUUAAAACUUGAGAUUUAAUAUAUAUGAAAUAUGGGAUGCAAUGUAAUUUGACAUUUAGAUACCAUCAUGAUUUAAAAUGCUAUGAUUUGUUGCUAAAAUGAUGUAAUGUAAAUAUUGAUUUAAUGUUUGGUAUCAUAAAUACUUUAAAAUGAUGAAUGUUUGGUAUCAUGAUCAAAAUAAUGAUAAAUACUUAAAAAAUUUAAUAUCUUAGUAUCAUGUAUGAUAUGCUCAAAAUAAUAAUGAAUAUUUUGAAAAUAAAUAUUUGUAUCAUGUUUGAUAAUUUUAUAUUUUAAUAAUAUGCAUGAUGAGUUGUAGUGAUGAUUGAUUUAUUUUUGGUAUCAUGAAAAAUGAAAUGUAAGAUUUUAAAAUUAUGUAUAUUUCAAGUUGAAACCAUAAUGAUGCACAAACAUAUUGAAAUAAGGUUGAUACUUUAUCUUUGUCAUGCUUUGAAAAUUAUUAUAAAGGGAAAAAGAGAUACAAAAUUGUAUUCUUCCCUUCUUUUUGACAAUGACAAAGGGCGAGAUAACUAGCUUGCUAGCUAGCUUACACAAGUUAAGAAAAAACAAGAAAUGCUAUCUUACAACCUCAAGAGAAGCAAAAGUGCUAUCUUGCCUAUCUUAAGAAGCAAAAACGCAAACUUACAAAAUUUACAAUCUUGCACAUCUUCAAAAUUAGAUGAUGAUAUUGGUGAUUAUGCAUGUUAUAAGGAGAUGAACAAAUAUGCUAGUUGUAUGUUAUAAAACUUACAUAUCUUAAAAAUUGCUAGCUUGUAAUAUAAAAAAAAGCAAAAAGCUUCUAUCUCAAGAAAAACAAACAUGCUAAACUUGCACAUCUUUAAUUAUUGCUAGCUUACAUAAUGAUAAAACUGGAAAUUAUGUUAAUUAUGCAAUGAUUUAAACUUCUAUGUCCAAACGCUUGAUAGUUGGAACUUCUCCCUUUUGUUGAUGACAAAGGGGGAGAAGUAUGAUCAUGUUAUGCAUGAUAACGUGUUGCAAAUAUUCAUGAUAAAAUUUGCAAUAACUUGAAUUUAGCUUGAAUUCAAGGUUCUAUCAAUAUGACAUAUUGAUAGGGGGAGUUAAGGUUAACUCCGUCAUCAAUUAGUUGUCAUCAUAAAAAAGGGGGAGAUUGUUGAAUCUCGUAUUUUGAUGAUGAAACCAAUUGAUAGUAUUUAUGAAUUGAUCUAUGUUUUGAGUGACAUAGGAUGCUUUGAUCAAGAUGAGACAAUCAAAGCAGGAAAAAUCAUGUUGGGCCGGAGGAAAACAUGUCAGAAGAUUGGACGUCGGGCCGGAGGAUCAGUCGACGUAUCGACAGAAGGCUUCGGGCCAUGGAUUCAGGCAUCGGGCCAAGAAGAGCGGAUAUUGCGCUAAGGAUAUCGGAGUUGUGGAGUCAACUGGUCGAUUGGGCAAUAGGCCGCAAGAGAGGUCGAUGUGCCGAAGAAUAGGAUGAAGCGUCGAUGGACCAAUGACAUGUCAAACAACAUGAUUAAUGCUUAGUAUUAAUUAUCUAGAUCGAAGUGUAUUUUUACAUGUGUAGGAUUAACUACGAUAGCAAGGCAUGAAGCAAAAUGAAGUUCCGGAGUCAAGGAUGUGAUUUCGUUGGGAAUUCGAGAGUUCGUCAGAAGUUCGGAUGUUUAUCGGAAGUUCUAUCGGACACAGCCAAGAAGUCUCGGAGCAUACCAGAAAAUUUCAUCGGAACUCGCUAAGAAGAUCGUCGUGAAGUCCAGGAGCUUGCCGGGAGUCCGCUGGAAUAUUGUCGAGAGAUCGUCGGAAGUUCACCGGAAGAUCGCCGGAGGCUUGCUGGAAGAAACCAAGACUUACGGACUUGUUUAGCUUAAGUAUGUCUUAGAUUCAUAGUUAGCACGUAAUUAGAUUUGAAAUUGGGCCAACCCAAUUAUGGGCCAGUUGGGCCCAUGUAAGAACUAUGUUGAGACCAAUGGAAAGGCUCAAACAGUGCCCCAAGAGGUGAUACCAUCGUGGCAUAGUCUUCGAGAUUGUGUCAAGUGGUGGUACCGCCCAGAUAGCCUCUGAGAGACUGCAGGCAAUGGUACCAUCAGUCUGGGCGGUGGUACCACCCAAUGUCAGGCGGUGGUACCACCAGACUGGGACGUGGUACCGCCAAGUGUAGUGUCAGUGUCAGACUAACACUGACGGUGGUAUUGCCCGGACCUAGGAAACCCAGGAUAAGUUAUUUUUAGCCUCCAAGUUUGAAUCAACUUGAAGCUUAUAAAUACCCCUCUCAUCCCUGGUUAACACACAUAAGCACAGAGUAUUUAAAAGUGGGAAAAAGAUGUUGCAAUCACUAGAGAAAUCCUCUCCUAUAGUCUAAGUUUAGAAUUCUGUUUAGGAGUAGAGUGUGCUUGUAAAGAUUAACUCCUAAACCUAUAAAAAGGAGAAGAGGGGUGUAAGAAGGAGGUUGAUCUUCACCUAUUAAAGGAAGAUCGAUAGUGGAUGCCGGUGGCCUCGACGGAAGAUGAAUCGACGAAAUGGAUAUAGGUCACGACGACCGAACCACUCUAAAAUCUGGUUUGCAUUUACUUCUUGCUAUUUACCUUAUUAUAAACUGAAUUCCUCCAUCACUACAUUUCAAGUUAAUAUCUUUACGAAAUCGGUUUUAUCGAAACAAAAUAUUUUUAAAGAUGUGAUUUUACCACUGCAUUAAUUCACCCUCCCUCUUAGUGCCGCUCUUGAUCCUAACAAGAGGAUAGGGGGAAUUAGUGCGUACGUAAAAAUCACGUUGAGUCAGAAAUUUUCAUUUCGAUAAAAACCGAUAUUGAAAAUGCUUAACUUAAAAAUAUUCAUAAGAGUGUGCAGCUAAAGUAAUGAGGAAGUAAAGUAGUUGCAAAUUAAGUAAAUGCAAACCGAGUUUAUAGUGGUUCGAUUGUCGUGACCUACGUCCACUCCUGAUUCCUCUUCCAUCAAAGCUAUCGACAUCCACUAACGAUUUUCCUUUAAUGGGCGAAGACCAACUACCCUUACAACUCUAUUCUCCUUUUGAGAGGCUCGGGAGAGAACCAUUACACCUCUACUCACCCCUCUCCAAACAGAAAUCACACUUAGACUAGAGGAGGAGAACUCUCACGAGAUUACAACAGAAUUUUCCCUUAUUUUUGUUCUUAGUUCUUGUGUGUUUUGAGCAGGGAUGAGAGAGAUAUUUAUAGGCCUCAAAUAGAUUCAAUCUUGAAGCCUAAAAAUGUCUCAUCCCCGAUUUUUCGGGUACUAGCGAUACCACCACCUUUGCUGGGCGGUACCACCACCCAAUCUAGCAGUACCAUCGCUUGGACCCAACUUUUAGGUCACUGAAUGAGUCUUUCUCUUGGCUCAAAAAAGUCCUAAUUUGGGCUCAGUUAGCUCCUAAUUGAGUUGAAUUAAUUACAUUCUAAACCAACCUAAUUAUGACAUAAACUAACUCGAUCUAGACAAAUUAUUACAAAGCACGAAUCUUCUAUUGUCCGGCAUGUCAUUGGUUCUUCUGGUACUUCGUCCCAUCCUUCGACGUAUUGCUCAAUCAACAUGUUGUCUUCUCGCAACAUCCAAUCUCCUUGAUGCAAUGUCCGAUCUUCUUGGCCCGAUGCCCGAAUUCAUGGACCAAAGCCUUCUAUCAACACGUCGAUCGAUCCUAUGGCCCGACGUCCAAUCUCCUAACAUGUUCAACUCCGACCCAACAUCUGAUUCCUCAUACUUUAAUUAAUUUGCCUCUCCUGAUCGAAGUUAGUCUUGCGUCACUCAAAACAUAGAUUAGAUCAUAAUAUUAUCAAUUGAUUUCAUCAUCAAAAUUCGAGAUUCAAUAUCCAAGACCUCAAGCUUGUCAUGAUCUAUAAUAUUUGACAAACACACUAAUUCACGUCCCUCCCCCCUGCUUAUAUGAUUGGAAAUUCACACAAAUAUAAACUCAAUUGAUUUCAUUUUUAUCCAAAGAACAAAACAAAACAUUCAUAGCUUUGGCAUUCAAAGAGAAAGUCUUUUUCUUCAAAUCAUUCCAAUCGUUCAAUGAUGUUCCAUAAAUCGAAAUUCAUGGAAAGCAAGAAAAUUCUCAUUCGAGUUUUCUAAUAUAUGUAGUCUAUCCCAUUAAACAUAGGAGGACGAAUGAUAGAGUGACUCUCUUGAAAUCUGAAAAGAGCCAUUUCUCUUCGGUGUUAAACCAAAUGAGAAAAACAUGACUCUAAUACCAACUGUUAGGAUCAAAUCGGCACUAAGAGGAGGGGGUGAAUUAGUAUGUAUGUAAAAAUCACAUUGAGUCAGAAAUCUUCAUUUCGAUAAAAAUUGAUAUUGGAAAUGCUUAACUUAAAAAAUAUUCAUAAGAGUGUGCGGCUAAAGUAAUGAGGAAGUAAAGUAGUUGCAAAGUAAGUAAAUGCAAACUGAGUUUAUAGUGGUUCGAUUGUCGUGACCUACGUCCACUCUCGAUUCCUCUUCCGUCAAGGCCACUGACAUCCACUAAUGGUCUCCCUUCAAUGGGCGAAGGCCAACUACCCUUACAACUCUAUUCUUCUUUUGAUAGGCUCAGGAGAGAACCUUUACACCCCUACUCACUCCUCUCUAAACAGAAAUCACACUUAGACUAGAGGAGAAGAACUCUCACGAGAUUACAAUAGAAUUUUCUCUUGUUUUUGUUCUUAGUUCUGGUGUGUUUUGAGUAGGGAUGAGAGAGGUAUUUGUAGGCCCCAAAUAGAUUCAAACUUAGAGCCUAAAAAUGUCUUAUCCCCGAUUUUCAAGGUACUAGCGAUACCACCACCUGUGUUGGGCGGUACCAUCGCCCGGUCUAGCGGUACCAUCGCUUGGACCCAACUUUUAGGUCACUGAAUGGUCCUUGCUCUUUGCCCAAAAAAGCCCUAAUUUGGGCCUAGUUAGCUCUUAAUUGAGUUGGCUUAAUUAUAUUCUAAACGAACCUAAUUACGACAUAAAAUAACUCGAUCUUAACAAAUUAUUACAAAGCACGAAUCUUCUAUUGUCCGACAUGUCAUUAGUUCUUCUAGUGCUUUGUCUGAUCCUUUAGCGUAUUGCCCAAUCAACAUGUUGUCUUCUCGCAACAUCUAAUCUCCUUGGCGCAAUGUCCAAUCUUCUUGGCCCGAUGCCCGAAUUCACGGACCGAAGCCUUCUACCGACACAUCGAUCGAUCCUAUAGCCCGAUGUCCAAUCUCUUAAUAUGUUCAACUCCAACCCAACAUCCAAUUCCUCAUGCUUUAAUUAAUUUACCUCUCCUGAUUGAAGCUAGUCCUACGUCACUCAAAACGUAGAUUAGAUCGUAAUAUUAUCAAUUAGUUUCAUCAUCAAAAUCUGAGAUUCAACAUCCAAGACCUCAAGCUUGUCAUGAUCUAUAAUUAUUGGUGAACAAAUAUGCCAUAGUUGAUGAUUAGCACGGCCUGGUCCACGGGUCAAUGUCAGGAGUCUUCUGUCGACUAAGCUGGAUGUUGAGGUCGACUGAGCCCUCACGAUGGGGUGCUGAUCAGUGUUCCUUAGUGUGUUGAUCCAGGCGCUAUGUAUGUCGUGCUGCGUCUCUCCUUCUCCGGGGUGGUUAGCAGCUCGUCUUCGUCAGAUGGUCAUGUUUUCUUGCAAAAAUGGCCCUCGUCGGGAUCACUCGACGAGGUCCCUCCGACGAGCAAGUCAGUGGAAUGAUCAAAUGACUCCCCCCCCCCCCCCCCCCGCUUUUUUCCUGGAUCAAGUCGGGGGUAUUUAUACCUGCGUGCGGGAAUUGGUCGGGCCCUGGUCUGGCAUGGCCGUUGACUCUAGGGGCGGAACAACCUCUCUAAUAAGAUGGCGUCUUCGGGGGUGCUUGAGUGGCAUCAGACGACACUACCCUAAUAGCAGAUGGCAUCGCCCCCAGCUCUUGGGGUGGUCAGGCCGCACAAUCGCACAGUUGGAGCUUGAUGUGGCGUGCACCCCACGCUUCUAGAGGCGUAUGGUGUCGCGUCGGUCUGCAGCGUCUGUCGGGGGUUCACAUAGGACCAAAAUACGCCCUAUCAAUAAUAUUUGACGAACACACUAAUUCACGUCCCCUCUAGAAAUGCUCAUAUGAUUGGAAAUUCAUGUAAAUAUAAAUUCAAUUGAAUUCAUUUUUAUCCAAAGCACAAAACAAAACAUUCAUAGCUUUGGCAUUCAAAGAGAAAGUAUUCUUCUCCAAAUCAUUCUAAUUGUUCAUUGGAAGAAAAGACUUUUGAAAUAUGUUUUUAAUGAUGUUCCAUAAAUCAAAAUUCAUGGAAAGCAAGAAAACUCUCAUUCGAGUUUUCUAAUAUAUGUAGUCCGUCUCAUUGAACAUAGGAGAACGAAUGAUAGAGUAACUCUCUUGAAAUAUGAAAAGAGCCAUUUCUCUUUGGUGUUAAACCAAAUGAGAAAAAUAUAGCUCUAAUACCAACUGUUAGGAUCAAAUUGGCACUAAGAGGAGGGGGUGAAUUAGUACGUACGUAAAAAUCACGUUGAGUCAGAAAUCUUCGUUUUGAUAAAAAUCGAUAUUUGAAAUGCUUAACUUAAAAAAUAUUCAUAAGAGUGUAUAGCUAAAGUAACGAGAAAGUAAAGUAGUUGCAAAGUAAGUAAAUGCAAACAGAGUUUAUAGUGGUUCGAUUAUCGUGACCUAUGUCCACUCCCGAUUCCUCUUCCGUCGAGGCCACCAAUAUUCACUAACGGUUUUCCUUCAAUGGACGAAAACCAACUACCCUUACAACUCUAUUCUUCUUUUGAUAGGCUCAGGAGAGAACCUUUACACCGCUACUCACUCCUCUCUAAACAGAAAUCACACUUAGACUAGAGGAGGAGAACUCUCGUGAGAUUACAACAGAAUUUUUCCUUAUUUUUGUUCUUAGUUCUUGUGUGUUUUGAGCAGGGAUGAGAGAGGUAUUUAUAGGCCCCAAAUAGAUUCAAAUUUGGAGCCUAAAAAUAUCUCAUCCUCGAUUUUUGGGAUAUUAGCGAUACCACCACUUGUGCUAGGCGGUAUCAUCGCCUAGUCUAACGAUACCAUCAUGUGGACCCAACUUUUAGAUCAUUGAAUGAGCCUUUUUCUUGGCACAAAAAAGCUCUAAUUUGGGCUUAGUUAGCUCCUAAUUGAGUUGGCUUAAUUACAUUCUAAACCAACCUAAUUACGACAUAAACUAACUCAAUCUAGACAAAUUAUUACAAAUGACGAAUCAUCUAUUGUCCGACAUGUCAUUGGUUCUUCCAGCACUUCGUCCGAUCAUUCGGCGUAUCGCCCAAUCAGCAUGUUGUCUUCUCGCAACAUCCAAUUUCCAUGGCGUAAUGUCUGACCUUCUUGGCUCAAUGCUUGAAUUCAUGGACCGAAGCCUUCUACCGACACGCUGAUCGAUCCUACGGCCCGAUAUCCAAUCUCCUAAUAUGUUUAACUCCAGCCCAACAUCCAAUUCCUCAUGCUUUAAUUAAUUUGCCUCUCCUGAUCGAAGCUAGUCCUGCGCCACUCAAAACGUAGAUUAGAUCAUAAUAUUAUCAAUUGGUUUCAUCAUCAAAAUCCGAUAUAUGUAUGUAUAUAUAUAUGUAUAUAUAUAUAUAUAUAUAUAUAUAUAUAUGUAUAUAUAUAAAUAUAUAUAUGUAUAUAUAUAUAUAAAUAUAAAUAUGUAUGUAUAUAUAUAUAUAUAUAUAUAUACAUAUAUACAUAUAUAUAUAUACAUAUAUACAUAUAUAUAUAUAUAUAUACAUAUAUAUACAUAUAUAUACAUAUAUAUACAUGUAUAUACAUAUAUAUGUAUAUAUAUACAUAUAUAUGUAUAUAUNNNNNNNNNNNNNNNNNNNNNNNNNNNNNNNNNNNNNNNNNNNNNNNNNNNNNNNNNNNNNNNNNNNNNNNNNNNNNNNNNNNNNNNNNNNNNNNNNNNNNNNNNNNNNNNNNNNNNNNNNNNNNNNNNNNNNNNNNNNNNNNNNNNNNNNNNNNNNNNNNNNNNNNNNNNNNNNNNNNNNNNNNNNNNNNNNNNNNNNNNNNNNNNNNNNNNNNNNNNNNNNNNNNNNNNNNNNNNNNNNNNNNNNNNNNNNNNNNNNNNNNNNNNNNNNNNNNNNNNNNNNNNNNNNNNNNNNNNNNNNNNNNNNNNNNNNNNNNNNNNNNNNNNNNNNNNNNNNNNNNNNNNNNNNNGUAUAUAUAUAUGUAUAUAUGUAUAUAUAUACAUAUAUACAUAUAUAUAUACAUAUAUAUAUAUAUAUAUACAUACAUAUAUAUAUAUAUAUAUACAUAUAUAUAUAUAUAUAUAUAUGUAUACAUAUAUAUAUAUUCUUUUGGGGGAACUCCUAUUAAAACACCUUCCUUCAUAUUUUCUAUAUAAUUAUAUCAUCAACACUUAUUCAAUUUGUCAUUCCAUUAAAGACUCCAUUAAGUAUAUUUUUUUUUGAAGUUAUUUUUAUUAAUAUUUUCUUAUUCAUAAUCCAAUCCAAAACUUCUCAUAAAAAAUUCGAACAUUUUGACAAUUGGCUCCAACGUAGUUCAAUCCAAAAUUUCUAUUACUUUUCGACAUUUUGACAAUCGACUCCAAAUGUUCGUGGCUCAACGAAGAGGAAGAUCUUGAUCCCCCCUCAGCUUCUUUCAUUCAUUCGUCGUCGGCAAAUUAUCUUUGGCUCUCGUGGAAGUCCCGUAAUGAUUACAAACAUCCAUAAUCAAUCGCAGCUUUGCAUCCAACUCAAAAUCCGAGGGCAACGGUAAGAUCUCUCUGCAAACCCAACACAACAUUCCUACACUCUCUUUUUAUGAUUGUUAUAUUUGAUCAAGAUAACAUGUCUCUCACCCGUUACUGUUCCUUCAAUACAACUUCUCCCACAAAGGCGAAGGCGAAAACAUGAGCGGUCCUCCAAUGCCUUUAAAAACAAUCUCUCACAUCUAUUCAAGUCAGUUCUGACCGAGCAACUUAAGCAAAUCUCAGUCACUUAUAAACCUAACUCGAGAUAUUAUCUAGAAAGUAGUAGACUAAAACAUCAUCAAAACUAUUUUGCACAUAUUUUAACAAAUUUUACAAGACAACUAAUCUUUUUUUUUUUUCUUUGUAUGAACUUCUUAUAGCCUAAUUUAUUACUUUAUUUAAAAAAAAUACAUAUUCAUUUAUAUUUUGCAAAAGGAAACUCAAUUUAAUAGCAGAUUUCAUUCUACGCAUAAAAACACCAAAGAUAUCAUCCUCAAAAGGACUACUACAAAAAUAAUCAAUGAGAAAGCCCAUGCAGUGGAGGAAAGCAAAUCGUUGCUCUGAGCUGUGAUCUCUGUUAUCAUGAGAAUAAUAGACGUCAAUCCUAAAGCAAAAUGAUGAACAACUUUCUACCGCAGGCAGUAACAUUUAUUGAGCUAAAUAACUGAUGAGUGUAAACAGCCACCUUUUUGUUAAUCUGCCUCUUGGUUGUCAAGAUAAAAGAUUCAUACACCUGAAUUAAACCUAGCUGGCUUAAUGCCACCUCAGCUUUCCUCCUAAGGAUCUGUGGCAGUGCUAGCGGUGUUAUGUUGGUGUUCGUAAUCCUCAGCUUCAUCUUUCAUACUUCUCCCAAAGAUAAAAGGCUUCGUUCCCAUGGUAGCGAACGGCAUUAGUCCAAAAGCCCGUGCAGUUUUAAUCUCCCUCGCAACUUUCCUCUGAGCUUUGGCACUGAUACGAGUCUGCAGAGAAACCAUGACGGUAAGUGAUCGAAAGAACGGCCAUAUCAUUUCUCUGAAAUUCUCGAUGGCAAAUUAUAUGAGUGGGAUUCAAUCUUGACCUUGCUUCUUUUAAUUAUAAUUCCUGCUUCAGUCAGAAAAUUUGAGAGGAACCUCACAUUCUGCAUUGGAUCAUCCCAGAUGUCAGAACAACAUAAGAAAACACCAAUUUAAUUAAUUUCUAGAAGAAAAAGAAUUAAGAGAAACCCAAGACAUUCAAAAACAAAGACAGACAGAUUAGUGAUGAGAUCGGCUGCACAGUGCUACAAACCCAAACCAGAAAGAAAUUUCUCUCCAAAAACUUUCAUAAACUAGGACAGAAUUUCCAAUGCAAACAUAUCCAACCUCUUCCAAAUAGAAGAGCACUUUACUGUUUGUGAUAAAUCAACCAGAAAAAAAGAUGUCAGAUACCUCAGAGUAGAUAGAUCACACAUAGGGACCACAUUUCCAAGAAUGCUUCAUUAUCACUGUUAUAAUAUGCUGAAAUUACAGAUAUCUAAUGGCGGCAGAAAUGCUAAAUAUCUAUUGGAGGCUCCUAUAUUAAUAGAACAACUUGAACUAAUCAGAGUUUAAGAAUAUCAAUACAAACAUAUCAGUGUAGCUUUGGUUAAGGGCUCUAGAACUCUGGGUAUGAAGUCAUUUAUUUUACUAAAAUAGUGCACAGUGAAGUACCUACAUCAAUUCAAAAUCUUAACUGUUCAAUUUGCUCCAUGGAAACAUAUAUAGCCUCAAAAUAGGAAGAGUCUGUUAGAGACAAAGUCAAUAGAAAAUUUAUUGGGUAUAAAGAUAUGCGCAUAUGCACCAAUACAUUAUUUAGAACUUAAAAUGUAUUAUAAUGAUAGUGAAAGCAGGUCAAUCAUAUUGUCAGGUUCUGACUCAAUGAAGUUGCAAACUACAAUGUGAUAUUAAUGCAAAUUUUUAAGUAUAUAAAGAAGCCAAAAAGUAUUAUGAGCCUACCCUGAAAUCAGCUUUCUUCAGAACCUCUUGUGUGGUUGUCUCAAACUCAUUUCUUUUGAAUCUCUUUUGAACCCCGGGUUUUGUAAGAUCAAGAUCCUAAAUGCAGCCACAGGAAAAAAGUGAGGAUGAAAGCAUACAAGUAAUAAUAACAGUUAAAAAAAAAUACUAUAUGACUUUAAUAAUAUAUCUAGGGUACUAAAUAACAUAUGAACUAUAUGAUUAGCAUUCAUUUAGAUAUUUGUUGUCUUGCUACAAAAACAAAAAUAGUCAUACAUAAGAUAGCAACCAUAGAACUAAAAAUAAAAAACUUACUGCCAAGGAAAAAGGCAAAAAAGCUAGCAAUUAGAAUGCCUCUUACCCUUGUUGUGUAAGUCAUACCAGGAUAAAAUGUCACAUCUGGUCUAAAUUUAUAAUUUUCAUCGUGUAUCUCAUCACUAAAAACAAACGUACGUGCUGCUUCCUUCAACUUUUCAUCCAUACCAUCUGACAAUGAAUUAAAACUAUCACUUAUACCAUCUAUGAUUCGAGAAUCAUCACUGUUCAAUUUGGAGCCAAUGCCAGAUCUUCCAUGAGCCUUCUCAAGUUUGUCAAGUUUGCGAUAAAAUGAAUCAUUUAUUUCAUUAUUGCUUAUAUCACCAAAUAAGCGUCGUUCAAAGUCAUCUGAGCUCUCAAACGAAUUAUCACUGUUUCGGCCAGAAUUACCAUUAUCUGUUUGGACCAGAGAAAGAACAACAGUGUAAACGUUAACACAGAAAUAAGACACUGAUAGAAAAAAAGAUCAAACAAAAUUUUAAAUUAAAUUGACUGCUAAAAUGUUGUCAAAUGUACACAAAGCAUGUUAGUGUCUCUUUUGAUAAAACACCUAGGACCUAGAAGCGGCUAAAUUUUGUGAAUAAGAAAUGUUUUCCAUUCACAAACAAGUAGGUGCAGCUCUGGAAAAAGAUAAAAUGAGGAAAGACAACAAAGCAUGACAUGUUUGAACAAGACAUCUAAAUAUCCUCGUUAGAUGAAGCAAAUUGGAUAGGAUUAGUGGUGUGAGAAAAUACAGAAGGAGAAAUAAGAAUAUAUUAUUAAAACAAUAAAAAGAAAGUUCACUACUUUUAGUUUAAGUAGGAUGUUUUCCUACCAGAACCCAAGAGAGAAAAAAGAUCCACAUAGCCAACCCAAACAGUUGAGACAUUACAACUAAAAGUAAGUUAGGAAGUGAAAGAAGCACAUCUAAUAGGUGGCCAUAAAAAUUUCAAGAACACAGCCGGAAAGAGCAUUACAAAAUACAACAUUUUUCAGAAAUAAAGUAGGGAUGUAUUUUCAAACAGGUACUUGUAAUUGAUUCGUGCCUGCAAAAUAUAGAAUUACCAAACAAUGGAUCUCGCUGAGAGGUUGUUAUCUUUACAAUUCACAUGACAACAAAUUUACGGCCUUCUAAAAUGAGAAUUCAUCAGCCGUGUCCUAUCCUAAGCUGUUAUCAUUGCGGCAGUUGUCAGCCGAGAAUACAAAACUGCAGAGAAUGAAUGCACAAAAAAUUUAUCAAUACAAAUGCUGCCAUGACCUACUCAAGUAAGAGUUUUUGGUUGAAGGGGAAAGCUGAUCAUGAGCUCUAGCCACCAUAACAGUGAUGAAAGAUUAAGAUGAUAGUUUGCUAUUAUGUAACAUUUUUUAUAUUGACCAUGCAGCAAUGGAUAAAUGGGUGUAUCUUACAAACCAAAUUUUUAGAGAUCAAAAUCAUAUACGAUGUACAUACAAAAUGGAUUACUGAGUAGUGAGACUUUUGAUUGGACUUGCAUAAAUAAAUUAUUAUUCAUCGACUGUGAUAGCAGAAAAUUACCAGAAAUCAACAGAAGAUGCUAUGCAUGAUGCAGAUCUCCUAAUGGGGCAGGGUUCAAAUUUGCAGAUAACUAGACUUGUUGACUGAAGCUGUCAGCUCAACAAUAUGGACUAUGGAGCAGAGUCAGAAUGUUUAAAUUCUGAGAUUAUGAAUUAGACGUCUGCAUGAGUUUCUCAUCCCAUCUCUCAUUUAGUGUGACUCGAGAGGAAAGCAUGCAUGACUUCAACAUACUUGGGGAUGGCUCAUUGGCUGGCAUCCAAAUUAACCUUGAGUCCAUGACAAGAUCAACCAAAGGGGCUUAGCAACACUACCUACGAGAUAUUGGCUCGUCAACUCACUCAUCCACUAAUGUCCCUGAUAAAAAAGAAGACACUUGAUUUGCAUACCAUAUGUUCGACAUACUUCCCAAAGCAAUGACAGAUCAAUUCCAUCGCAUACAUAAAAAUUACAAUGGUUCAUAAGGAACUAUAAGCAAAUUUUACAUAAUUACUAUACAACAAACAUUGACAAACUCGCUCCAACAGAAUUGAGAUACAAAGGAAAGGAGGUGCAGAAGAAGUUUAUCUAAUUGAGGAGGAGAAAGAAAGUAAUCAGAUACCAGUGCGAAAGGAUUGGUGUCUGAAGAAGAGAGGCAGCACUUGUUUGGAGGAGAGAAGCCCACACAAGCUAGGCUGACGCAGAAGUUCUUUUUGCAAUGCUAUCCUUCUCAUCAUUUGCUUCACGAACGAUGCUAUCACACUAAGGAGCAAGUUACAGAUUGAAUACCACAGUGGAGAUAAUAAUCUUAAAAGGCAUAAAAACAAACACCCAAUGUGCAAGAAUCAUUACCAAAGAGAAACUUGAGGAUAACGAAAAUUUUACAGGCAAAAAUACAAACAUCAUUAUUACGAACACACACACGUCUGUUACUUGACAUAGAUUUGCCCCAAAACAAACACAAAAAGCCAGAAAAACAAGACAAGACAAAAGCUCACGACUUACCAAGAAGUUCGAAAGGGUAAAGAAUGAAGAGGAUCGAAGACCAGAGAGAGAAAUAGAGAGGUACAAGGGGAAAGACGAGUUUGAGGAGCACCCGAAAAGCAGGCAGAGGAGGCUCUGGGAGGACGGAGGAUACCGCGGCUAGAUCGAGGAGGAGGAGGAGGAGGCUCCGGGAGGAUGGAGGAUACGGCGGCGGCAGCGAUGGCGGCGAGAUCAAGGAGGAGGCCUGGGGGCAGGCAGCGCACUGGAGCCGGGGGAAGAAGGGUGCGUCGAGCAGCUUCGGCGGCGCGCGAGUCGUUGGUGUAUCAUCCACGACCUAAAUGAAACUCGAGUGCAACCCGGCACCGACCGUGUAAGAGCUUAGUGGUGACAUUAAAAGCCCAGAAAGCCCAUCAAACUCGGCCCAUGCGCCCCAUGCGGUCCAAUUACAAUUCCCGACGACGCCAGGAUUCCUCCGCCGCCACCCGCAUCUCCUUCCUGCCGCCAGGAUCCUCAUCUCCGCGGGGAGAGGCGAGGAGGGCGGCUGGGCGAAGACGAGGAGGAGGCACUGCCUCUCGUCGCCGAGGGAUCGGUGCAUCGCCAGAUGAGCCGAGGACGAGGGAGCAGCGAAGCAGCCGACUGCUGUUCGUAAGGGAGUGGGAACAGUGAAGCGGAAAAGGAGGUCAGCGGACGGUUGCAGUUGUGGCAGUUGUUUGUUAUUAUUGGGAUAAAAAUGAUGGCCAGCAUUAAACAUCUAAUUUGAUCACUUGGUUAUUUUUAUUUAUUUUUACAAAAAAUUAUGAUUUAAACAUAAAUAUAUAUAUCACGUCUCUUUUUUUUUUGGUUGCAUAAUUACAUUUUUUAUUUUCAUUUUAUUUAUAAGUAUACUGAUUUUAAGAAAUAUCCUUCGUUUUGGAUUUUUUUUAAUAAAAUGUUUCCCAUUACUGUCCCAUUUUUUUAAUCUCAAAAUAACUCGAGUUGAACAGUCAAAAAGUCUCAGGAGUUAGUUAGUAUUUUUAAAUAAAAUUAUAUCAUUUUUUCGAAAGCACUAAUAGAAAACAUAAAAAAGGGAUGACAACUGGAAAAAGUCUAAAUUGAGAAGAUUUUUCGGAAAUUCGUCUUAUAUAAGAUGAAUUUUGUUUUUUUAUCACAAAUAACUCCUCUUUUGUAAGUAAUGACCAAAGUGUGCGAUAAGUUGCUGUGGUAGCAUAUCAGAGAUGGAGAUGGAGCAUAGCUUUCACCUCUCCAUCCAAUGAAUUGAUGUCUCGACAUCCCGAGAUGUGCCAUCAAUCCGUCCCCACCCCAUCACAAACAACGCCCCUUGGCUCCCAAAAAUACACCAUGUGCCAUGUGCCAUGUGCCAUGUCCAUGGUGGAGCACAGCAUCACCACAGCAAAAGAAUCUAACACCAGCCAUGUGACUCCCCCGUCCGCGAAAGCAGGUCACAGGCGCAAUAGCCACCAGCCAUGACGAAGACGACCCGGUUUUACACCAACCACAACAGUGAAAGAAUCCGUAAAAAGAGAGUUCCAAGGUGACAAGCCACUGAAACAGGACGACGCUCGCUCUCUCUCCCCUUCGGAGAGGGCUACAAAGGGACGCACAUUGCUGAGCCCCCAUGGCUCCACAACAUUUACACACCCACACAGCUUACUUCAAACACACUUGCAUAGCCCGCCGGAUCGCCUUUGCAUUUCCUGCGGGAACAUGUACCAGGCUUGUUCUCAAGGUUUUAUUCUUCUUCUGCCAUUCAUUGAUGGCGUACCUUCUUCUUCUUCGAUCAAAGGAAGUUAAGGCGAGAGGUGUAGGUGGCCUUGGGAGACCAGUUUCUUGGAAUCACGUCCCGGGCUGAGAGGGUCCUUUGGGUGGUCAAUGUGGUGAGCUUCACUGAGAAUGGCCCCUGCAGAGGUCCCCCAAUGAUGCACCAACUCGCUCCCCACACGUGCUUCAUCUCUAGCCACUUCAUGGAAUUUGCCUGCAAGAGAAAUAUGCACUUAACUGCAAAAGAAAUGGAUCAGUUCUUGACCGGACAGGGAGGAGCCUUUCCAACCUUCCAAUGUAAUGAGGAAUCGGUGACCGAGAAAUAUGAAUCCUAAAAAGUGGGAUCAAGAGUGCUGCCUGCAACUUUAGCUCCAAAGAGGAGAAGAAUAAAGAGCUUUAGUUGCAUCAAUUCUUGUCUUAAAGUUGUGAGUGCAUUCAUCAAUCAGGUUUUGGCCCACAACACUAACAACAAGAAAGUUCUUCUAAGAUUCUUAGCAUUAUUAUACUUAUCACUCUCCUCUAAGACAACAACAAACAUUCAUCACUGCAAUAUCUACAGUCAUGUCAGACAAAUAGCAGAAUCCUUGAUGAAAUCUUAUCUUCAUAAAUAAAACUACAACUUGAUGAGCUACUGAUGAUGGAUUGGAUUUGCCCGGUCAACACAACUCCUAUUUUCUUCAAAGAUGAUAAAUAGGCAGACCAACUUGUGGCAGACAGGCAAACCAGACACUGGGACAUUUGUUUGGGCUUUAUUGUUUAGAUAAAUGUUACUUUUACAACCAUAAAAAGAGGAGGAUAAAUUGCAGCAAAACUCCUAGAGCAGAGCUGAUCUGUCACCUAAAUAUUUUAGCUACAAACAGAUUGUGGAACAAACUGCAUCAUUUCCAUCUGUGCCGGUUCAUGUAGGAGAAGCAUCAAACUACAACUUAGAUAAGAACAUAAAACAGAUAUAAGGUAGGAAAUUGUACUUGUUUUAUAUGCAUGGAUCCGAUAUCUCCAUCAUCACCCUCAAACUCCACAAGAAGAGAGAGCCAAAAGUUCGUGGAACCUUCGUUUACAUGAAACGCGAUAUUCUUUCCCGGGUACUUGCAUGGAGUCCUGAAAAAUACAACAUUCGAAGAUAAAUUUUUGAUCGAACUAUAUUUGCUAAUGUAAGAAUUAAAUCACAUGGUGGUGGAUUUCCGAUAUAAUCCUCGACUUUGGCUGAUGCUCUAUGAUUUUUCCAGGCUAAUUUGACAAUUACUCUGAAAAUUCAAGAGAUUGGUAGAGCUAAACAGUAAAAUCACAUGCUUCAUAGACUGCUCUGAUGAGCAUCAAGGAAAGCUUCUGAUCCCUUUCAUCAACAGAAUUAACACAACCUUCUCUAUCUGAUGAUCCCACAACACCAACUUAUAAUCCAAUUUUAGGAGCCGGUUUUAGCAUUAAGGACUAAUUAGUGCUAGUAUUCAGUUCUAUAAGGAGCAACAUCAUUCAGCAAUCUUUUUUCAUGUUCCAGAUCAAAUCUUAUGCUCUCUAUCUCACUCUGCGGUAACUUUUUUAAGUUUAAUUUGAGUUCACCAGUAAAAGAUUUCUCAUAAAUUUGGUGAUUACUAUGUGCAUGACUAUGAAAAUUGUCAGGAAUCUCGAUAGCCACCGAUCUAAUAUGCUCAAGUCACACUCACACAUAUAUGAGACAACAAACAAUUGCAUAAAAAUGCCAAAAGCAGUUCCCUGUCUUGUAUGAUGAACAAAAUAAGGGGCGUCCGAAAAUGUCGUCUUUUGCACGAAAAUGUCGACAUUUGCACAUAAAUGUGGUAAACGGGGUUGUCGUCAUCGAUGUUUCGAUGCUUAGCUUACCUGCAGAAUAUGACGGAGAUCUCGCCACGGUCGCGCAGCUGGCCGGCCUCGCCCGCGACGGCCAUGCGGCCGAAAGCGGCACCGCUGAGGUCGAAAUGCGUGUGGCCGGAGGCGCAGUACCCGCCGGGACACUCGUCGGUGACGAUGACGGUGACGGCGCGGCGGGAGCAGAUGGCGGGGUCGAGGCACCGCACCUUGUAGCAGGCGCCGCAGCCCUCGCCGCCCUUGAACAGCACCGGGCUCACCGCCCCCACCCGCGCCCGCAGCGGCUUCACGUCCACCAGCGUCCCGUACCCGCACGCUCCACCUGCCAUCCACGAACCAUCACCAAAGCUUUAUUUCCAUGACUGCACGGAGGCGGCCAAAUUAGCACCAAAGGAGGGCGACGGCCAACACGAUGAGAUACGGUCGUCGCCCUACACACGCAACGCCUUCAUCCACCACACCGCUCUUGCCACGCAGCCAGAGUCAAGCGGGACCCGCGAGCAAGCGGGGUGAACGCCCAACGGCUACGAAGCCGCCAACGGCUAGAAACGCAAGCUCACGUGCGCGCCCGUCCGAUCUUAAUCUAAUGGUGGCGAGGGGAAGGGGAAGAGGUAGGGAAGGGCGAGAGCUCACCGUCGCUGCCGUCGCCCUCGGCGCUGCCGUACCACGUGGCAGUCGCCGGGUGCCAAUGCGGGUCGAAAACCGCAAACGCCUCGCCGGCGUCGAAGAAGAAGAAGAGGAAGCAAAACAAGAACAAAAAGAAGCCGCAGCUGGAGGAGGAGGAAGAAGUCAUUGUGAGCUUCUCUCCUCGCUUUUAGGCUUCCAGGAGGCCAAGUAUCAGCUCCAGUGUCCGGAUCUCG